AGCGAACGCUGGCGGCAGGCCUAAUACAUGCAAGUCGAACGGAUCCUUCGGGAUUAGUGGCGGACGGGUGAGUAACACGUGGGAACGUGCCCUUUGGUUCGGAACAACUCAGGGAAACUUGAGCUAAUACCGGAUAAGCCCUUCGGGGAAGGAUUAUCGCCAUUGGAGCGGCCCGCGUCUGAUUAGCUAGUUGGUGGGGUAAAGGCCGUACCAAGGCGACGAUCAGUAGCUGGUCUGAGAGGANGAUCAGCCACACUGGGACUGAGACACGGCCCAGACUCCUACGGGAGGCAGCAGUGGGGAAUCUUGGACAAUGGGCGGCAAGCCUGAUCCAGCCAUGCCGCGUGAGUGACGAAGGUCUUCGGAUUGUAAAGCUCUUUUGCCAGGGACGAUAAUGACGGUACC
rnacentral:rRNA from 1 species